rnacentral:rRNA from 1 species
UACGAAGGGGGCUAGCGUUGUUCGGAAUUACUGGGCGUAAAGCGCGUGUAGGCGGGCGUUUAAGUCAGGGGUGAAAUGCCAAGGCUCAACCUUGGAACUGCCUUUGAUACUGGACGCCUGGAGUCCGGGAGAGAUGAGUGGAACUGCGAGUGUAGAGGUGAAAUUCGUAGAUAUUCGCAAGAACACCAGUGGCGAAGGCGGCUCACUGGCCCGGAACUGACGCUGAGACGCGAAAGCGUGGGGAG